UACGUAGGGUGCAAGCGUUGUCCGGAAUUAUUGGGCGUAAAGAGCUCGUAGGCGGUCUGUCGCGUCGGCUGUGAAAACCCGGAGCUCAACUCCGGGCCUGCAGUCGAUACGGGCAGACUGGAGUUCGGCAGGGGAGACUGGAAUUCCUGGUGUAGCGGUGAAAUGCGCAGAUAUCAGGAGGAACACCGGUGGCGAAGGCGGGUCUCUGGGCCGAUACUGACGUGAGGAGCGAAAGCGUGGGGAGCGAAACAGG
rnacentral:rRNA from 1 species